rnacentral:misc_RNA from 1 species
GUUCUCCCCAAUGCCAUGCAGUGUUAAAACGAAAGAAACGCGUCCAGGCGCCGGACGUUGAAAACAUUUUCCCCGGCGCGAUACUGAUAAGGUGUUCAAGCGCUUUGGCGCUAAGUUCACCGGCAUCAAGCUGCUCAGGUAGCUCCAGCCAAAGAAAAUAACCGCUAUCGUUAUGGUGAAUUUUUACUUCCGCCGGGAGAUGGCGCAAAAGGGUUUGCCAGGCUUGCUGUUUACGUUCGGCAAGCUGCCUUCGCAAUCGGCGCAGAUGCGCGUCAUAUCGACGUGUCGAGAGAUAAUCCACUAACGCCAAUUGCAUGGGGGAACUGGUGGAUAAUGUGCUCAUUAAUUGCAAACGCUGAAUUUGUCUGGCAUGGCUUCCUCCCGCAACCCAGCCAAUGCGAAAACCGGGAACCAGACAUUUGGAAAAAGACGAACAAUGCAACACGGUAUCGUCGCGAUCCCAUGCUU